rnacentral:rRNA from 1 species
GGCGGGUGCUAUACAUGCAAGUCGAGCGGACAGAUGGGAGCUUGCUCCCUGAUGUCAGCGGCGGACGGGUGAGUAACACGUGGGUAACCUGCCUGUAAGACUGGGAUAACUCCGGGAAACCGGGGCUAAUACCGGAUGCUUGAUUGAACCGCAUGGUUCAAUUAUAAAAGGUGGCUUUUAGCUACCACUUACAGAUGGACCCGCGGCGCAUUAGCUAGUUGGUGAGGUAACGGCUCACCAAGGCAACGAUGCGUAGCCGACCUGAGAGGGUGAUCGGCCACACUGGGACUGAGACACGGCCCAGACUCCUACGGGAGGCAGCAGUAGGGAAUCUUCCGCAAUGGACGAAAGUCUGACGGAGCAACGCCGCGUGAGUGAUGAAGGUUUUCGGAUCGUAAAACUCUGUUGUUAGGGAAGAACAAGUACCGUUCGAAUAGGGCGGUACCUUGACGGUACCUAACCAGAAAGCCACGGCUAACUACGUGCCAGCAGCCGCGGUAAUACGUAGGUGGCAAGCGUUGUCCGGAAUUAUUGGGCGUAAAGCGCGCGCAGGCGGUUUCUUAAGUCUGAUGUGAAAGCCCCCGGCUCAACCGGGGAGGGUCAUUGGAAACUGGGGAACUUGAGUGCAGAAGA